rnacentral:rRNA from 1 species
GACGAACGCUGGCGGCGUGCUUAACACAUGCAAGUCGAACGGAAAGGCCCUGCUUUUUUGGGGUUCUCGAGUGGCGAACGGGUGAGUAACAAGUGAGUAACCUGCCCUUGACUUUGGGAUAACUUCAGGAAACUGGGGCUAAUACCGGAUAGGAGCUCCUGCUGCAUGGGGGGGGUUGGAAAGUUUCGGCGGGUGGGGAUGGACUCGCGGCUGAUCGGCUUGUUGGUGGGGGAGUGGGUUACCAAGGCUUUGGCGGGUAGCCGGCCUGUGAGGGUGACCGGCCACAUUGGGACUGAGAUACGGCCCAGACUCCUACGGGAGGCAGCAGGGGGGAAUCUUGCACAAUGGGGGGAAGCCUGAUGAAGCAACGCCGCGUGCGGGAUGACGGCCUUCGGGUUGUAAACCGCUUUAGCCUGUGACGAAGCGUGAGUGACGGUAAUGGGUAAAGAAGCACCGGCUAACUACGUG